rnacentral:rRNA from 1 species
GAUGAACGCUGGCGGCGUGCCUAAUACAUGCAAGUCGAGCGAACGGACAAGAAGCUUGCUUUUCUGAUGUUAGCGGCGGACGGGUGGGUAACCCGUGGAUAACCUACUUAUAAUACUGGGAUAACUUCGGGAAACCGGAUCUAAUACCGGCUAAUAUUUUGAACCGCAUGGUUCAAAAGUAAAAGAGGGUUUUGGUGUCACUUUUAGAUGGAUCCGCGCUGCAUUAGCUAGUUGGUAAGGUAACGGCUUACCAAGGCAACGAUGGAUAGCCGACCUGAGAGGGUGAUCGGCCACACUGGAACUGAGACACGGUCCAGACUCCUACGGGAGGCAGCAGUAGGGAAUCUUGCGCAAUGGGCGAAAGCCUGACGGAGCAACGCCGCGUGAGUGAUGAAGGUCUUCGGAUCGUAAAACUCUGUUAUUAGGGAAGAACAUAUGUGUAAGUAACUGUGCACAUCUUGACGGUACCUAAUCAGAAAGCCACGGCUAACUACGUG